AGGAGGAACAACCGCAGUGGCGGGGCCAGCUCUGCAGCCCUGGAGUCAGCUCCCGCAGUACCUCCAGAGCUCUCUGUCUGCAGGGCCUGGAGGCUCCGGGCGGGG
rnacentral:pre_miRNA from 1 species